rnacentral:rRNA from 1 species
UACGGAGGGGGCUAGCGUUGUUCGGAAUUACUGGGCGUAAAGCGCGCGUAGGCGGACCUGCAAGUCGGGGGUGAAAGCCCGAGGCUCAACCUCGGAACUGCCUUCGAUACUGCGGGUCUCGAGUCCGGGAGAGGUGAGUGGAAUUCCUAGUGUAGAGGUGAAAUUCGUAGAUAUUAGGAAGAACACCAGUGGCGAAGGCGGCUUCCUGGACCGGUUCUGACACUGAGGAGCGAAAGCGUGGGGAGCGAUCCGG